GGGGCGUGGCCAGGGGCGGACCAAUCAGUUGGAGGAUCAGUGGUCAUCGACCCUGCCCCCAUGUGUUAACCUUCUAAUUGCCGGAGGGACGUUUUCUCUGUCUUUGCGUUGAACGCGACCAUCACUACUCCGGCAGCCAAUAGGUUAAUGAGGAGGCGGGGUCGUACGUGACGUCACUCACCAUGGUGCUAUAUAAAGUGAGCAGUUCAAGAAAGCCAGAACUUAUUGUCCUGGAAGACAGUAUACCAGACAGUAUCCAGGUAUUUAAUCUAGGCGUCCCUUCAUGGAAAAUACAAGUGAAAAACUGAAAUAACUAUGGGAUAACACAGCCUCCAACAAUCCCAGUUCUGAUUAAUCAUCGGAUGCCAGGGGGGACUGCAGUGUAUCACAGAGUUCUCACCACCCCAGAUAUAAGUGUGCCUUAUGUUUUAACCAAUCCAGGACAUUUUGUGCUUUUUUUAAAUUGCUAAAAUUGAAACUAGAAAAUAUCUUCAACUUGUACAAUAGAUGGAAUGGAAAACUGGAUAAUAGGGAAGUAUUGGAGGUUCAUCUAGGCUUCAUGUGCAAAUCGAGCCAUUUACCAAGUAAAGGAAGUAUUUGCAGAGCUUGUUUCAAUGUGCCGCAUUUAAGAGCAUUUAUCUAAUUAUAAAUAUGAGUAUAUCUUUGUGACCAUGAGACACUGUUGGAUACUACGUUACGUUUGAGAGGGACAGAGUUUUGCAGUUCUGAAGCUACAGCAGUUACACAAGAGCUGUAACAUUCUUGGAACAGACAGGACAAGAUGGAGCUUCUGGCUGAUCAAUGCAUGCCAAGCACAUGUAGUGCUGAAUUAGAAAUUCUAUAUUAACAUAUCAAUGCACUGCAGCCUCCUGAAACACAGAGCGGAUUAUCAGAGCAGGGUGUACUAGACCCCGCAGCACCAAGGGGGGCCUGAGAACAAUACGUUACCAAAAGCUGCUUCAGCACUCAAUAGGGUCUAUCAGUAGUGCUAUAGCAGUGUAUUGCACAGCCUUCCCUCCACUUACUCAGUGCCAUAUAGAGCUUUGGACAUGAGCAAGGUUCAAGGCACCAGAAUUGUUUUGGUUUGUUUGUUACUUGCCCAUGCAUUUCCUAGAACAUGUCCCUAUAUCUAUAUAUCCUAAAAAGAAGAGAAGGAGGAGAGCACUCAGUGUAACACAUAAACCCAUUUAACCCUUAUAUAGUGAUUCCAAAUAAAUGCAUACUUGGUGUCAAUAAGA